rnacentral:rRNA from 1 species
CAAAGGAAGUUGACGGGGCCCGCACAAGGCGGUGGAGUAUGUGGUUAAUUCGAUGCAACGCGAAGAACCUUACCUGGUCUUGACAUCCCGGAGACCCUUAGGAAACUAGGGGUGCUUCCAUCUGGAAGAAUCUGGAGACAGGUGCUGCAUGGCUGUCGUCAGCUCGUGUCGUGAGAUGUUGGGUUAAGUCCCGCAACGAGCGCAACCCUUGCCUUUAGUUGCCAGCAGUUCGGCUGGGCACUCUAAAGGGACUGCCGGUGUUAAACCGGAGGAAGGUGGGGAUGACGUCAAGUCCUCAUGGCCUUUAUGACCAGGGCUACACACGUACUACAAUGGCCGAUACAAAGGGCAGCGACACUGCGAGGUGAAGCCAAUCCCGUAAAAUCGGUCUCAGUCCGGAUUGGAGUCUGCAACUCGACUCCAUGAAGUUGGAAUCGCUAGUAAUCGUGGAUCAGCAUGCCACGGUGAAUACGUUCCCGGGCCUU